AUGUCGUCGGUGUUCAGCGGCGAUGAGACCGCCCCCUUCUUCGGCUUUCUCGGCGCCGCCGCGGCUCUCGUCUUCUCAUGUAUGGGGGCGGCCUACGGGACGGCCAAGAGCGGCGUCGGCGUGGCGUCCAUGGGAGUCAUGCGCCCGGAGCUCGUCAUGAAGUCCAUCGUGCCCGUUGUCAUGGCUGGAGUGCUCGGUAUCUACGGGCUUAUUAUCGCUGUCAUCAUCAGUACCGGGAUCAACCCCAAGGCCAAGCCCUACUACCUCUUCGACGGCUACGCCCACCUCUCGUCCGGGCUCGCCUGUGGCCUUGCCGGACUUGCUGCUGGCAUGGCCAUCGGCAUUGUUGGUGAUGCUGGAGUCAGGGCAAAUGCUCAGCAGCCCAAGCUGUUUGUCGGCAUGAUCCUCAUCCUCAUCUUCGCAGAGGCGCUCGCUCUCUACGGUCUCAUUGUCGGCAUCAUCCUGUCAUCCCGAGCUGGCCAGUCUCGUGCCGAUUAG
rnacentral:rRNA from 1 species